GUUGGCUUAGAAGCAGCCACCCUUGAAAGAGUGCGUAAUAGCUCACUGGUCAAGUGAUCCUGCGCCGACAAUGUAGCGGGGCUCAAGUACACCGCCGAAGCCGCGGCACUCCACCAUGACAUCCGCAGAGGUUUACGGACUUCUGUGUAGUGGGUGGGGUGGGUAGGGGAGCGUCCUGCAUCCGUGGAAGCGCCGGAGUGAUCCAGGUGUGGAGGGUGUGGGAGUGAGAAUGCAGGCAUGAGUAGCGAAAGCAGAGUGAGAAACUCU
rnacentral:rRNA from 1 species